CCAACUUUAAACACCAGAAGCUAUGAUGCACCGAUACAAAAUAUUUCCUUUGGUUUAGGGUUUAAACUGAAGAUAUCAUAUGAUACACCAUACAGCAUUUUUUUCUUGUACUUACUCGAUACAGGCCAAUAUAAAGUAAAUGAUUCAAACUAAACAACGAACGCACAUGAUAACUUGGUGGAACAAAAACACUUGGUACAGAAAAACCUUUUUUUGAAGGAUGGUACAGAAAAACCUUAUGAACAUGGUUUUUAACAAUGGCUCUUCACUAUCAUGAUAUCUUAAACAAGAAAAACAAAAUAGCACCGAAAAAUUCAUCCCACAUAGUACAGAAAAAUGGGUCAUACACUAGAACUGGAUAAUUAUUUUAUAAAAAUAAACUCUUCAUAU
rnacentral:lncRNA from 1 species